GACGGAGGAGGCAAGCGUUGCUCGGAAUCAUUGGGCUUAAAGCGCGCGUAGGCGGCCUUGUAAGUGUCUUGUGAAAUCCCACGGCUCACCCGCGGAACUGCAGGGCAAACUGCAAGACUUGAGGUCGGUAGAGGCGCCUGGAACUCUAGGUGGAGCGGUGAAAUGCGUAGAUAUCUAGGGGAACGCCGGAGGCGAAAGCGGGGCGCUGGGCCGAUUCUGACGCUGAUGCGCGAAAGCGUGGGGAGCAAACAGG
rnacentral:rRNA from 1 species